rnacentral:rRNA from 1 species
AUAGGUGGCAAGCGUUGUCCGGAAUUAUUGGGCGUAAAGCGCGCGCAGGCGGGUCCCUUAAGUCUGAUGUGAAAGCCCACGGGCUCAACCGUGGAGGGUCAUUGGAAACUGGGGGACUUGAGUACAGAAGAGGAAAGCGGAAUUCCAAGUGUAGCGGUGAAAUGCGUAGAGAUUUGGAGGAACACCAGUGGCGAAGGCGGCUUUCUGGUCUGUAACUGACGCUGAGGCGCGAAAGCGUGGGGAGCAAACAGGAUUAGAUACCCUGGUAGUCCACGCCGUAAACGAUGAGUGCUAAGUGUUAGGGGGUUUCCGCCCCUUAGUGCUGCAGCUAACGCAUUAAGCACUCCGCCUGGGGAGUACGGCCGCAAAGGCUG